rnacentral:rRNA from 1 species
UAGGGAAUAUUGGACAAUGGGCGCAAGCCUGAUCCAGCCAUGCCGCGUGAGUGAAGAAGGCCCUCGGGUUGUAAAGCUCUUUUGUCCGGAAAGAAAAGCUUUGGGUUAAUACCCCGAAGUCCUGACGGUACCGGAAGAAUAAGCACCGGCUAACUUCGUGCCAGCAGCCGCGGUAAUACGAAGGGUGCAAGCGUUACUCGGAAUUACUGGGCGUAAAGCGUGCGUAGGUGGUUCGUUAAGUCUGAUGUGAAAGCCCUGGGGUCAACCUGGGAAUGGCAUUGGGUACUGGCGGGCUAGAGUGCGGUAGAGGGCAGUGGAAUUCCCGGUGUAGCAGUGAAAUGCGUAGAGAUCGGGAGGAACAUCUGUGGGGAAGGCGACUGCCUGGACCAGCACUGACACUGAGGCACGAAAGCGUGGGGAGCAAACAGG